CCUACGGGAGGCAGCAGUAGGGAAUUUUCGGCAAUGGGGGGAACCCUGACCGAGCAACGCCGCGUGAAGGAAGAAGGAAUUCGUUCUGUAAACUUCUGUUAUAAAGGAAGAAAGACGGAUGGCGGAAAUGACAUCCGAGUGACGGUACUUUAUGAGAACGCCACGGCUAACUACGUGCAAGCAGCCGCGGUAAUACGUAGGUGGCAAGCGUUAUCCGGAAUUAUUGGGCGUAAAGAGGGAGCAGGCGGCAGCAAAGGUCUGUGGUGAAAGAGUGAAGCUUAACUUCAGUAAGACAUAGAAACCGGGCAGCUAGAGUGCAGGAGAGGAUCGUGGAAUUCGAUGUGUAGCGGUGAAAUGCGUAGAUAUAUGGAGGAACACCAGUGGCGAAGGCGACGAUCUGGCCUGCAACUGACGCUGAGUCCCGAAAGCGUGGGGAGCAAAUAGGAUUAGAUACCCCAGUAGUC
rnacentral:rRNA from 1 species